rnacentral:lncRNA from 1 species
UGUCACUCACUGGGAGGAGGUACUGGAUCUGGUAUGGGAACACUAUUGAUAUCGAAGAUCAGGGAAGAGUAUCCUGAUCGGAUGAUGUUGACUUUUUCGGUCUUUCCUUCUCCGAAAGUCUCGGAUACGGUGGUGGAACCUUACAAUGCCACCCUCUCCGUCCACCAACUGGUCGAGAAUGCUGAUGAAUGUAUGGUGCUUGACAAUGAAGCUCUGUAUGAUAUCUGUUUCCGUACACUCAAGCUCACUAAUCCCAGCUGUAAGUGCUUUUUCUUUAUGUAAUUAAUUCUUUUUAAUGUCUUGCCAGUAGCUAAAGACAAAUAAUAUUAUGGACCAUGACGAAUAAUUCAAUCAGGAGAAAAAAAAUUAUAUGAUCAUGUUGAGAACCAAUACCUUGGUAAAGGAAGAUCCAAAAUGGAUGUUAUGCUAUUUUCUAACACUCUCUUUACUCAAAAUUUGAGAUUUCCGUCAAAUCAGAUACCGAAGACCGUUGAAAUUUUGAGGUCCUUUUAGGUUGGGCUCUAAACCACUGCUUAGUUGGCUUCACUGUUGAGCCGGCCCUGUGAUCCUAUAUUGAGGAUUCCUGUGAUCCUAUAUUGAGAAUCAAUCCACCUAAAAAUUUUAAGAUGUUAGAAUAAGAUUCCAAAUAGAUCUUAUGCUAUAUAUAAUUGAACAUAUUCAAAUUGGGUAGUGAUCAAAUACACCUUUGGAUCUGUCUAAUUGAAUUAUUUUUGUGAUUUCGAAUUUUUAUGUGAAUGCAGUCGGUGAUUUGAACCACUUGAUCUCCACAACCAUGAGCGGUGUAACAUGCUGCCUCCGUUUCCCGGGACAACUCAACUCCGAUCUCCGAAAACUAGCCGUAAAUCUGAUCCCCUUCCCUCGCCUCCACUUUUUCAUGGUCGGUUUCGCGCCUCUAACUUCCCGCGGCUCUCAACAAUACCGUUCCCUCACAAUCCCCGAACUCACUCAACAAAUGUGGGACUCCAAGAACAUGAUGUGCGCCGCUGACCCGCGCCACGGCCGUUACCUCACAGCCUCGGCCAUGUUCCGCGGCAAAAUGAGUACUAAAGAAGUCGACGAACAAAUGAUCAAUGUCCAGAACAAAAACUCCUCGUACUUUGUCGAGUGGAUUCCCAACAAUGUCAAGUCAAGUGUCUGUGACAUUCCUCCCACGGGCCUGGCCAUGUCUUCGACUUUCAUGGGGAAUUCGACGUCGAUUCAGGAGAUGUUUAGGCGUGUUUCGGAGCAGUUCACUGUGAUGUUCAGGAGGAAAGCGUUUCUGCAUUGGUACACAGGGGAGGGAAUGGAUGAGAUGGAGUUCACUGAGGCCGAAAGCAACAUGAAUGACUUGGUUUCGGAGUAUCAGCAGUAUCAGGAGGCUGUGGCGGAUGAUGAUCAGGAAGAUGAGUAUGAUGAUGAAGAGGGGAUGGAGAAUUGAGAUUGGAGAAAUGUGAAGCACAGUGAUCAGAUUAACUUAUAUGUGGCGAGUACAUAUUGGUGUGGUUUGAUGAAUUGAUUCAGGUUAUGAGGUGGUGAA